GUCAGCUCCAACCACCUGCCAUUUCUGCAGCACCUGAGCUCCCAGUUCGGUAGCCCCCGAUCUAAAUGAAUCCAUCACUGUUUCCGAAAGGCUGGAACACCAGGCUGCUGGGCAACCUUGAACCAGGUUUAUCCAGGAGGGCAGAGACCGAGGGACCUGCCUGGGAACAACAACAACAACAACAACAAAAAAUUGGAGUGAUUCAGAGAAAGCAAUCUGUUACCUGGAAGAAUUUAAGGGUUUAAAAAAAAAUGAUCUUUGAUCAAAGUUUUAUGGAGUCGGAUGCAAAUGGUGACUCAGUGAUCCCCUGUAGAGAGCAUGUAAACAAGAAAUAGCAUCAGGACCCAGUGGGAUGCUACAGCAUUGAACCGUCAGCUAUAGCAUCUUUUAACCUAGCAAUUGGAUUUCACCACACAAGCUUUCCCCCAGUGAUUCCAGAAAAGGACGCGGAGGGAUCACUUUCAGAAAGAAAGAUACCUGAAGCAGAACUUGGACGGGCGCUUUGUGGAGAAAACACGACUCUUCAGAAAGAAACAUACAACUCUUGGAGCAGAUUUGGAUCUUGCUGACAUCACAGAUGUUUGGAAAGCCAUGGAUUUUACAUCCUGAGUCUGGGCCAGGAACUAGAGAAAUGGAUACACCAGUGAAAAAAUAAACGUGAUGAUGGACCCCCAAGGCUGCCCGCCUUUAGAGGAGGUGAUGAGAGAAACUUCCAAACACUCUACAAAUCAAGCCAAGCUGUCCAAAUACCUGGGGCUAGGAUGUUAGCCAGUAUUCAGAACAUGUGAACCAAACUGAAAACACUUUUUAGCUUCUCUCUCUCUCUCUCUCUCUCUCUCUCUCUCUCUCUCUCUCUCUCUCUCUCUGGAAACAUACAACACUUAUGUGAAAUGUAGUUUUUCAUGCUGGAUUUGAUUGGUUUUAAUGAUGGGUGUCUUAGAGCGAGUCCAAGUUUAUUCUCAAGGACCUCAGUCUCCCAGCCCACAAUUAGGACUAAAUACAGCGCCUUGGCAAGAUUCUUUUUCUAAGGCUUAGCUUCGCUUUGACUCUCCCGGGUUUGGCAGCGGUAAGCCCACAAGUAUCUGAGCUGGAAUUUCCUCACGACUUACCCACCGCCCCCAGGACUAAGCAAGCACUUUGCAAAAGGACCAUUCGCUCUUUUGAAUCGAGCUCCCCUGUAUUUCAGGGUACCCAGGUGGCUUCUAAGUGUUUGAUGCAACAUCCUUAAAACCGUUCCCCGCUUCCGAGGAUUAACUAAGGCACUUGGAAGGUCGGCGCUGCUCACCGUUUUAACGUUUGAUUUAUCUUUUCCAUAAGAUUUCAGUCUGACCACCCACGAUCCCCGUUUUAUAAGACUGUCCCCUCCCAUCCAAAAAAAAAAGAAGAAAACUUGUUCUAACAUCUUUGAAAUGAACAAAAUAAAAGGGUUUAAAUGGCUGAUUUGAAAUUAUCACUAAGCAAUGAAAAAUGUAUUUAUUGUAUGAGAGCUAAAAGUUCUGCUUUCUAUAUCCUUGCAUUUUAUUUAUAUCUAUAAAAAGUUUUGCUGGGUUUGAUGGCAUGGGUCUUUAAUGUUGGCACUUGAGCAACUGAGGCUGGAACAACUUGAGUUUGAGGUCAUCCUGGGAUACAUAGCUAGACCCUGUCCAAAGGAAGGGGAAAAAAAAAUAAAAGAGGAAAAAGAAACAACGCAACAGUUCCAAAACAGAAUCACCUCCAAUCCCAAAGCCACCUCCAGGCUCCAAGUCCCAAAGCCUUCUGUUAAUUAACUUUUUAAACGUUAGCAUACAAAGUAACUGGCUCCACCAUGGCAUUACUGUGCAUACUUUGAUUGCCCAUUGAUCCUCCUUCCCCUCCAAUCCCUCUGCUCAUCCCCCUCUUCCCCCACUCCCCAACAGCCUCCCAUUUUUCUUGUCCCGUGUUUUCUAGCAGCCUCUUGAUUUUCAUCCCCACCUUAAGAUUUCCUUUACUCUCCCAUGUUUUGCAUGACCUAUCCCCUACCACGCAUCUGUGAACACACAGAAGACCUGAAACUGAAACUGCCCAGAAGGUGGCUGGGCCUGGCGGCACACGCCUAUAAUCCCAGCACUCCAGAGGCAGAGGCAGAGGCAGGCGGAUCACUGUGAGUUUGUGGCUAGCCUGAUCUACAAAAUGAGUUGGCAACCAAAGAGACAUGAUGAGACUCUGUCUCAAACAAAAUGUCUAUCCAAAACCAAACAGAAACAAACAAAACAGAAAGGAAAAGAGUCAACCUAUAGGGAUGCGCUUCAAGGCAUUGGCCUGGGCAGAAAUUUUCUGUAAAAAGAUUCCCGUGACAUAGGAAAUAACCCCAAGAAUGAAAAAAAAUUGAAUUAUAUGAAAGCAAAAAGCUGCUGUAUAGCAAAGAAACCCAUCAGCUGAGUGAGGGAAGCCUACGGGAUGGAAGGAAACCUUGGCAAAGGAUUCCAAAUGGACCACAGAGCAUCCUACAUUUUAUUCCUGAAUUGGGCACAGCCAAAAUCAUGGCUUUGAAGUGCUCAGCAAUGCACAGCAGUCCUUUGGCAGGUGAUGCGUGAGAAUGUGCCUAAGACUCUCUCUAAAUCUAUAUUUGCUUUAAGUGGUCUUGAAUCCAAGAAUGUUUGUGCCUUUAAGUAGGGGAACAAAAAUGAAUAUUCUAAAAUACAGCACUCCUUUGGUAUAUAAACAUGGCCACACGUUCUAGGAAACUUAGGGGUCUGAAUAAGCAAAACAAAUAAUCUAGCAUUUAGAAACAAAGAUGGCCACCCCAUUUUAUCCCACAUUCUUUGUCUUAUCAAUUAUGAUGGCUGCAUGGUAUAAGAAUUGAGUUAUUACGGUCUUGUAGUGAGUCGCUUAAAUUCUUAUAUACAGUUUGGAUAUUAGUUCCUAAUAAGGCUUUCGAGUACUUGGUCUUCUUUUGUAGGAUUUCUCUUCACUCUGUAAAGAGUUUCGCUUGGACGCCACCGUAGAGCAUGAUCUCAGUUGAGUGCUUCAGUACUGUGUAAGGAGACCUGACCUGGAAGUAAUUCACACAACAGCAAAGAAUCAAAACCCUGGGCUACAGGGCAUCCAAAGAGCAAGGAGAACGUUCCCUGCUUCCUGGGGACUGGACCCAAGUGAUAUGUGGGUGAGGUAUCCAUGCAUAGUACAAAAUACAGUGAUUCCUGGAGGGGACCCGUGUCUCAAAGAGUUCCCAAGGGAAGGUCAUUGCUGAGCCACUUGUAAGGUAUUUCUAAAGGAGAAGCCUGCGGUUGGCUCUCAAGGUGUCCACACUUGUGUUCAGGAUAACUAAAUAUGGACACUGUCGAUGCUGUGGAAUGCUCUUCUGUUUGAAAAUCAUGUAGAUUGGAACUCAGAUAACGUACUUCUUUAGAAGCACAGUUGAAAAGCACCAAGACAUGCUGCUUCUGAGGAGGAUCCUAGAAAAUUGUAGGAUAGUGUCUAUACCUUUUAAAAAGUCAGCAUUUGAGGCCGGAGAGAUGGCUCAGUGGUCAAGAGCACUGACUGCUCUUCCAGAGGUCCUGAGUUCAAAUCCCAGCCACCACAUGGUGGCUCGCAACCAUCUGUAAUGGGAUCUGAUGUGUCUGAAGAAAGCUACAGUGUAAUCGUAUACAUAAAAUAAA